rnacentral:rRNA from 1 species
GCUGUCGCUAAAGGAUGGACCUGCGAUGCAUUAGCUAGUUGGUAAGGUAACGGCUUACCAAGGGCGAUGAUGCAUAGCUGAGUUGAGAGACUGAUCGGCCACAUUGGGGACUGAGACACGGGCCCAAACUCCUACGGGAGGCAGCAGUAGGGAAUCUUCCACAAUGGACGAAAGUCUGAUGGAGCAAACGCCGCGUGAGUGAAGAAGGUUUUCGGAUCGUAAAGCUCUGUUGUUGGUGAAGAAGGAUAGAGGUAGUAACUGGCCCUUUAUUUGACGGUAAUCAACCAGAAAGUCACGGGCUAACUACGUGCCAGCAGCCGCGGUAAAU